GAUGAACGCUGGCGGCGUGCCUAAUACAUGCAAGUCGAGCGAACGGACGAGAAGCUUGCUUCUCUGAUGUUAGCGGCGGACGGGUGAGUAACACGUGGAUAACCUACCUAUAAGACUGGGAUAACUUCGGGAAACCGGAGCUAAUACCGGAUGAUAUUUUGAACCGCAUGGUUCAAAAGUGAAAGACGGUCUUGCUGUCACUUAUAGAUGGAUCCGCGCUGCAUUAGCUAGUUGGUAAGGUAACGGCUUACCAAGGCAACGAUGCAUAGCCGACCUGAGAGGGUGAUCGGCCACACUGGAACUGAGACACGGUCCAGACUCCUACGGGAGGCAGCAGUAGGGAAUCUUCCGCAAAGGGCGAAAGCCUGACGGGGCAACGCCGCGUGAGUGAUGAAGGUCUUCGGAUCGUAAAACUCUGUUAUUAGGGAAGAACAUAUGUGUAAGUAACUGUGCACAUCUUGACGGUACCUAAUCAGAAAGCCACGGCUAACUACGUG
rnacentral:rRNA from 1 species